rnacentral:rRNA from 1 species
CCUUGAAAUACCACCCUUUAAUGUUUGAUGUUCUAACGUUGACCCGUGAUCCGGGUUGCGGACAGUGUCUGGUGGGUAGUUUGACUGGGGCGGUCUCCUCCUAAAGAGUAACGGAGGAGCACGAAGGUUGGCUAAUCCUGGUCGGACAUCAGGAGGUUAGUGCAAUGGCAUAAGCCAGCUUGACUGCGAGCGUGACGGCGCGAGCAGGUGCGAAAGCAGGUCAUAGUGAUCCGGUGGUUCUGAAUGGAAGGGCCAUCGCUCAACGGAUAAAAGGUACUCCGGGGAUAACAGGCUGAUACCGCCCAAGAGUUCAUAUCGACGGCGGUGUUUGGCACCUCGAUGUCGGCUCAUCACAUCCUGGGGCUGAAGUAGGUCCCAAGGGUAUGGCUGUUCGCCAUUUAAAGUGGUACGCGAGCUGGGUUUAGAACGUCGUGAGACAGUUCGGUCCCUAUCUGCCGUGGGCG